CUGUUGAGUGUUUCUCAAAGAUGCAAGUCUGCUAGUCCCGUGGGAUCAAGUAUUUAGCAUACAUCUGUAAAGAUAAUGAAUGCUAUUCACUGUGCUACCGCUAAAAGAUCUCUUUUGACAUUAAAAAUGUUUCUAAGACUGAUGGAAAUUUAUAAAAUUUAUUACGUGGUACUGAAAUGUAUUCUUUACUAUUUGUGACAAAUCACUUUUAAAUAAAUUGUUUUUUU